rnacentral:rRNA from 1 species
UACGUAGGGUCCGAGCGUUGUCCGGAAUUACUGGGCGUAAAGAGCUCGUAGGUGGUUUGUCGCGUUGUCCGUGAAAACUCACAGCUCAACUGUGGGCGUGCGGGCGAUACGGGCAGACUGGAGUACUGCAGGGGAGACUGGAAUUCCUGGUGUAGCGGUGGAAUGCGCAGAUAUCAGGAGGAACACCCGUGGCGGAAGGCGGCUCUCUGGGACGGUACUGGACGGCUGAGACGCGAAAAGCGU